rnacentral:rRNA from 1 species
AUUGAACGCUGGCGGUAUGCCUAACACAUGCAAGUCGAACGGCAGCAUAGUAUAAGUUUCUAGUUUCGUGGCGCGAGGGGCAGGCGUGUGUAGUACACAGCGACGUCUCCUGUUGCGGGGGAGAACUCGUAGAGAGAUUAACUAAUAUACCGUACACCCUGAGGGUGUGAGAGGGGGGGAGCAUCGCAUCUUGCUCUAGUAGCUGCGGAUGUCGGAUUAGCUAGUUGGGGGGGUAAAGGCUCACCAAGGCGACGAUCAGUAGCUGGUCUGAGAGGAUGAUCAGCCACACUGGAACUGAGACACGGCCCAGACUCCUACGGGAGGCAGCAGUGGGGAAUAUUGGACAAUGGGCGAAAGCCUGAUCCAGCAAUGCCGCGUGGGUGAAGAAGGCCUUCGGGUUGUAAAGCCCUUUUGUUGGGAAAGAAAAGCAGCAGGUUAAUACCCCGCUGUUCUGACGGUACCCAAAGAAUAAGCACCGGCUAACUUCGUG